UACGAAGGGUGCAAGCGUUACUCGGAAUUACUGGGCGUAAAGCGUGCGUAGGUGGUUUGUUAAGUCUGUUGUGAAAGCCCCGGGCUCAACCUGGGAAUGGCAAUGGAUACUGGCAGGCUAGAGUGCGGUAGAGGGUAGUGGAAUUCCCGGUGUAGCGGUGAAAUGCGUAGAGAUCGGGAGGAACACCAGUGGCGAAGGCGGCUACCUGGACCAGCACUGACACUGAGGUACGAAAGCGUGGGGAGCAAACAGG
rnacentral:rRNA from 1 species